CGCCGGCCCCUUCGCGACGGCAAGCUGUGAAUCCCGUCAGGCCCGGAAGGGAGCAGCGGCAGCAGUAGACUCGUGCGCCGGAGUGCGGCUGACGCAG
rnacentral:SRP_RNA from 1 species